rnacentral:hammerhead_ribozyme from 1 species
AUACUGAUGAGGAGUCCCAGACCAGGACGAAACAGCUUUCUAGUAC